rnacentral:rRNA from 1 species
GAGAGCUUCUCCACCAAGGCGCACGCCCUCACCGAGCCCAUCAACGUCUACAUCAAGUGGAUCGACAAGUGCGAUGAGGCCAACCAAGGUGUCACUGGUACUAACGGCGGUGUUUGCAUUGAUCUAUGUCUCCAUGGCGCCGGGUCUACUGUUGAUCAAGUUAGUUUGAAGCUUCUCAGAGGAAGAUCAAUUGUGUCCGUCCAUGUUUUUGCCCUUAUUCAGAGAUCGAUACUAGUGAAAUUGUGCGUCAGAGAAAAUUUUAUUUUCUUGACUUCCAGUCACCAAUGA